UGGGGAAUAUUGCACAAUGGGGGGAACCCUGAUGCAGCGACGCCGCGUGAGUGAAGAAGUAUUUCGGUACGUAAAGCUCUAUCAGCAGGAAAGAAAAUGACGGUACCUGACUAAGAAGCCCCGGCUAACUACGUGCC
rnacentral:rRNA from 1 species